rnacentral:rRNA from 1 species
GACGAACGCUGGCGGCGUGCUUAACACAUGCAAGUCGAACGCGCCUGUCCUCUGGGUUUCUGGGGGGUGGGUGAGUGGCGAACGGGUGAGUAACACGUGAGUAACCUGCCCCCUUCUUCGGGAUAACGGUCUGAAAGGGCUGCUAAUACCGGGUAUUCACUGGUCUCCGCAUGGGGUCUGGUGGAAAGGUUUUUUUCUGGUGGGGGGUGGGCUCGCGGCCUAUCAGCUUGUUGGUGGGGUGAUGGCCCACCAAGGCUUUGACGGGUAGCCGGCCUGAGAGGGUGACCGGUCACAUUGGGACUGAGAUACGGCCCAGACUCCUACGGGAGGCAGCAGUGGGGAAUAUUGCACAAUGGGCGCAAGCCUGAUGCAGCGACGCCGCGUGAGGGAUGGAGGCCUUCGGGUUGUGAACCUCUUUCGCCCGUGGUCAAGCCGCGACGUGGGUCGUGGUGAGGGUAGUGGGUAAAGAAGCGCCGGCUAACUACGUG